rnacentral:tRNA from 3 species
GUAGCUAUGUCAGAAGGUUAUAUGAGUUAGUUUUAAGCAUUAAUUAUGGAUGUUUCCUAGCUAUU